GCCUGGUUGGCUCAGUCGGUUGAGCAUCGGACUCUUGAUUUCAGCAGCUCAGGUCAUGAUCCCAGGGUUGUGGGAUAGAGCCCUACAUUGGGCU
rnacentral:tRNA from 1 species